rnacentral:rRNA from 1 species
UGGGGAAUUUUGGACAAUGGGGAACCCUGAUCCAGCCAUCCCGCGUGUGCGAUGAAGGCCUUCGGGUUGUAAAGCACUUUUGGCAGGAAAGAAACGUCGCGGGUUAAUACCCCGCGAAACUGACGGUACCUGCAGAAUAAGCACCGGCUAACUACGUGCCAGCAGCCGCGGUAAUACGUAGGGUGCAAGCGUUAAUCGGAAUUACUGGGCGUAAAGCGUGCGCAGGCGGUUCGGAAAGAAAGAUGUGAAAUCCCAGAGCUUAAUCUUUGGAACUGCAUUUUUAACUACCGGGCUAGAGUGUGUCAGAGGGAGGUGGAAUUCCGCGUGUAGCAGGUGAAAUGCGUAGAUAUGCGGAGGAACACCGAUGGCGAAGGCAGCCUCCUGGGAUAACACUGACGCUCAUGCACGAAAGCGUGGGGAGCAAACAGGAUUAGAUACCC